rnacentral:rRNA from 1 species
AACGAACGCUGGCGGCACGCCUAACACAUGCAAGUCGAACGAGACCUUCGGGUCUAGUGGCGCACGGGUGCGUAACGCGUGGGAACCUGCCCUUAGGUUCGGAAUAACUCCCCGAAAGGGGUGCUAAUACCGGAUAAUGUCUUCGGACCAAAGAUUUAUCGCCUUUGGAUGGGCCCGCGUUGGAUUAGCUAGUUGGUAGGGUAAAAGCCUACCAAGGCGACGAUCCAUAGCUGGUCUGAGAGGAUGAUCAGCCACACUGGGACUGAGACACGGCCCAGACUCCUACGGGAGGCAGCAGUGGGGAAUAUUGGACAAUGGGCGAAAGCCUGAUCCAGCAAUGCCGCGUGAGUGAUGAAGGCCUUAGGGUUGUAAAGCUCUUUUACCCGGGAUGAUAAUGACAGUACCGGGAGAAUAAGCUCCGACUAACUCCGUG